rnacentral:rRNA from 1 species
GACGAACGCUGGCGGCGUGCUUAACACAUGCAAGUCGAACGGAAAGGCCCUGCUUUUGUGGGGUGCUCGAGUGGCGAACGGGUGAGUAACACGUGAGUAACCUGCCCUUGACUUUGGGAUAACUUCAGGAAGCUGGGGCUAAUACCGGAUAGGAGCUCCUGCUGCAUGGUGGGGGUUGGAAAGUUUCGGCGGUUGGGGAUGGACUCGCGGCUUAUCAGCUUGUUGGUGGGGUAGUGGCUUACCAAGGCUUUGACGGGUAGCCGGCCUGAGAGGGUGACCGGCCACAUUGGGACUGAGAUACGGCCCAGACUCCUACGGGAGGCAGCAGUGGGGAAUAUUGCACAAUGGGCGGAAGCCCGAUGCAGCAACGCCGCGUGCGGGAUGACGGCCUUCGGGUUGUAAACCGCUUUCGCCUGUGACGAAGCGUGAGUGACGGUAAUGGGUAAAGAAGCACCGGCUAACUACGU